GGGGAAUAUUGGACAAUGGGGGAAACCCUGAUCCAGCCAUGCCGCGUGUGUGAAGAAGGUCUUAGGAUUGUAAAGCACUUUAAGUUGGGAGGAAGGGUUGUAGAUUAAUACUCUGCAAUUUUGACGUUACCGACAGAAUAAGCACCGGCUAACUUCGUGCCAGCAGCCGCGGUAAUACGAAGGGUGCAAGCGUUAAUCGGAAUUACUGGGCGUAAAGCGCGCGUAGGUGGUUCGUUAAGUUAGGAGUGAAAGCCCCGGGCUCAACCUGGGAAUUGCUUCUAAAACUGGCGAGCUAGAGUAUGGUAGAGGGUGGUGGAAUUUCCUGUGUAGCGGUGAAAUGCGUAGAUAUAGGAAGGAACAUCAGUGGCGAAGGCGACCACCUGGACUGAUACUGACACUGAGGUGCGAAAGCGUGGGGAGCAAAC
rnacentral:rRNA from 1 species